rnacentral:rRNA from 1 species
UACGGAGGGGCAAGCGUUACUCGGAAUUAUUGGGCGUAAAGGGCGCGUAGGCGGUCGUGCGCGUCGGAGGUGAAAUCCCUCGGCUUAACCGGGGAACUGCGUCUGAUACUGGAUGGCUAGAGUGUGGGAGAGGGAUGCGGAAUUCCAGGUGUAGCGGUGAAAUGCGUAGAUAUCUGGAGGAACACCGGUGCGAAGGCGGCAUCCUGGACCACGACUGACACUGAAAGCGAAGACCAAGGGCAGGCAAACGG